CACGUAGGGUGCGAGCGUUGUCCGGAAUUAUUGGGCGUAAAGAGCUCGUAGGCGGUGUGUCGCGUCGGCCGUGAAAACCUGCAGCUUAACUGUGGGCUUGCGGUCGAUACGGGCAUCACUGGAGUUCGGCAGGGGAGACUGGAAUUCCUGGUGUAGCGGUGGAAUGCGCAGAUAUCAGGAGGAACACCGGUGGCGAAGGCGGGUCUCUGGGCAGUAACUGACGCUGAGGAGCGAAAGUGUGGGGAGCGAACAGG
rnacentral:rRNA from 1 species